AGUGCUUUUAAAGCUUGUGCUUGUAUGUUUUAAUCAGCAGUCCCAGUUUCCACUUUAAAGGUGCUGUGCUGCUGUUUCGCUAACUUGGGCCAAACUGAAUAAAACCCUAAUUCUUUUAAAACUCUGGCCCUUUGAAGCCAUUUCAGCCAACCUGAAUAUGCAAGAUAAUUCACAGGGAGAUUUCUGUUUGGCCACCAACCCCGCCCCAUAUAUAUAUAUAUAUAUAUAAUUUUUUUUUUUUACCGAAAGACAAUUGUGUCUUAUGAGACACAUUUUUCAGUAAUAUGUCAGGCAAAAUAAGUAGCUAAGUAAACAAUUACAGUGCCUUAAACUUCUAAUAUAUAGGGGUUAAUAAUCACAGUUUAAAGCUUUAUAUUUCCUGAUCCAUGUCUGUUAUAUAAAGUGCAGUCUAUAGUUUACUGUUUGUCUUUUGUCCGUUCUGAUUAAUGAUUAUCUUAUCUAAAAAUAUCCACCUUACUAUUUAAGACUUUCACAAAUACCCUACCAUUUAAAGGCAGGGUUUUGGUAAGACUUAAGUGUUUUUCAAAA